GACGAACGCUGGCGGCGUGCUUAACACAUGCAAGUCGAACGGAAAGGCCCUGCUUUUGUGGGGUGCUCGAGUGGCGAACGGGUGAGUAACACGUGAGUAACCUGCCCUUGACUUUGGGAUAACUUCAGGAAACUGGGGCUAAUACCGGAUAGGAGCUCCUGCUGCAUGGUGGGGGUUGGAAAGUUUCGGCGGUUGGGGAUGGACUCGCGGCUUAUCAGCUUGUUGGUUGGGUAGUGGCUUACCAAGGCUUUGACGGGUAGCCGGCCUGAGAGGGUGACCGGCCACCUUGGGAGUGAGAUACGGCCCAGACUCCUACGGGAGGGAGGAGUGGGGAAUAUAGAACAAUGGGCGGAAGACUGAUGCAGCAAGGCCUCGUGCGGGAUGGCGGCCUGCGGGUGGUAAGCCGCUUUCGCCUGCGACGAAGCGUGAGGGAAGGUAAUGGGUAAAGAAGCACCGGCUAACUACGG
rnacentral:rRNA from 1 species